UAAGGAAUAUUGGUCAAUGGAGGCAACUCUGAACCAGCCAUGCCGCGUGAAGGAUGAAGGUCCUCUGGAUUGUAAACUUCUUUUAUAUGGGACGAACUCCCCCGAGUCCUCGGGGACUGACGGUACCAUAGGAAUAAGCACCGGCUAACUCCGUG
rnacentral:rRNA from 1 species